rnacentral:rRNA from 1 species
GACGAACUGUGCAAACGUUAUUCGGAAUCACUGGGCUUAAAGGGCGCGUAGGCGGCACUGUUAGUCAGGCGUGAAAGUCCUGGGCUCAACCUGGGAACUGCGCUUGAUACGGCAGAGCUAGAGGAUGGAAGAGGCUCGCGGAAUUCCCAGUGUAGAGGUGAAAUUCGUAGAUAUUGGGAAGAACACCGGUGGCGAAGGCGGCGAGCUGGUCCAUUACUGACGCUGAGGCGCGACAGCGUGGGGAGCAAACAGG